rnacentral:rRNA from 1 species
GACGAACGCUGGCGGCGUGCUUAACACAUGCAAGUCGAACGGAAAGGCCCUGCUUUUGUGGGGUGCUCGAGUGGCGACCGGGUGAGUAACACGUGAGUACCCUGCCCUUGACUUUGGGAUAACUUCAUGAAACUGGGGCUAAUCCCGGCUAGGAGCUCCUGCUGCAUGGUGGGGGUUGGAAAGUUUCGGCGGUUGGGGAUGGACUGGCGGCUUAUCAGCUUGUUGGUGGGGUAGUGGCUUACCAAGGCUUGGACGGGUAGCCGGCCUGAGAGGGGGACCGGAUCCACUGGGACUGAGAUACGGCACAGACCCGAAUGGGACGCAAGGGUGGAGAGGAUUGCACAAGAGGAGGGAGCAUGGCGUGGUACCGCCGCGCGGGGGAAGAGAUGCUGGGCGUAGUGUUCCGCUGCUGCCUGUGACGAGACGUUAGUGACGGUAAUGGGUAAAUAAGCACCGGCUAACUACGUG